ACACCUCAACUCUCAUGGUUUGCCAUGAUGAGCUUGGACUUUGGGGGUCUUGCUGGCCUGCGGUCGGCUCCUCUAAAAUGAAUCAGCUUUCCAGUGUUUGGUGGCGUCACAGGUGUGAUAACUAUCUACGCUUGUGGUUCUCUGCCAGGUAACCUUCAGCAAUGAGGGUUCGCUGGGGCUCAUAAAUGUCUCUCCUCAGCGAAGACAGCUUUGUGAAC
rnacentral:misc_RNA from 1 species